AGUGAACGCUGGCGGUAGGCCUAACACAUGCAAGUCGAACGGCAGCACAGUAAGAGCUUGCUCUUACGGGUGGCGAGUGGCGGAUGGGUGAGGAAUACAUCGGAAUCUACUUUUUCGUGGGGGAUAACGUAGGGAAACUUACGCUAAUACCGCAUACGACCUACGGGUGAAAGCAGGGGAUCUUCGGACCUUGCGCAAUUGAAUGAGCCGAUGUCGGAUUAGCUAGUUGGCGGGGUAAAGGCCCACCAAGGCGACGAUCCGUAGCUGGUCUGAGAGGAUGAUCAGCCACACUGGAACUGAGACACGGUCCAGACUCCUACGGGAGGCAGCAGUGGGGAAUAUUGGACAAUGGGCGCAAGCCUGAUCCAGCCAUACCGCGUGGGUGAAGAAGGCCUGCGGGUUGUAAAGCCCUUUUGUUGGGAAAGAAAAGCAGCAGGUUAAUACCCCGCUGUUCUGACGGUACCCAAAGAAUAAGCACCGGCUAACUUCGU
rnacentral:rRNA from 1 species